GACGAACGCUGGCGGCGUGCUUAACACAUGCAAGUCGAACGGAAAGGCCCUGCUUUUGUGGGGUGCUCGAGUGGCGAACGGGUGAGUAACACGUGAGUAACCUGCCCUUGACUUUGGGAUAACUUCAGGAAACUGGGGCUAAUACCGGAUAGGAGCUCCUGCUGCAUGGUGGGGGUUGGAAAGUUUCGGCGGUUGGGGAUGGACUAGCGGCUUAUCAGCUUGUUGGUGGGGUAGUGGCUUACCAAGGCUUUGACGGGUAGCCGGCCUGAGAGGGUGACCGGCCACAUUGGGACUGCGAUACGGCCCAGACUCCUACGGUAGGCAGCAGUGGGGAGUAUUGCACAAUGGGCGGAAGCCUGAGGCAGCAACGCUGCGUGCGGGAUGACGGCCUUCGGGUUGUAAACCGCUUUCGCCGGUGACGAAGCGUGAGUGACGGUAAUGGGUAAAGAAGCACCGGCUAACUACGUG
rnacentral:rRNA from 1 species